GAUGAAGAACGUAGUAAAAUGCGAUAAGUAAUGUGAAUUGCAGAAUUCAGUGAAUCAUCGAAUCUUUGAACGCACAUUGCGCCCGCCAGUAUUCUGGCGGGCAUGCCUGUUCGAGCGUCAUUUCAACCCUCAAGCACAGCUUGGUGUUGGGACUCGCGUUAAUUCGCGUUCCUCAAAUUGAUUGGCGGUCACGUCGAGCCUCCAUAGCGUAGUAGUAAAACCCUCGUUACUGGUAAUCGUCGCGGCCACGCCGUUAAACCCCAACUUCUGAAUGUUGACCUCGGAUCAGGUAGGAAUACCCGCUGAACUUAAGCAUAUCAAUAAGCGGAGGA
rnacentral:misc_RNA from 1 species